rnacentral:rRNA from 1 species
AGCGUACACGGUGGAUGCCCUGGCAGUCAGAGGCGAUGAAGGACGUGCUAAUCUGCGAUAAGCGUCGGUAAGGUGAUAUGAACCGUUAUAACCGGCGAUUUCCGAAUGGGGAAACCCAGUGUGAUUCGUCACACUAUCAUUAACUGAAUCCAUAGGUUAAUGAGGCGAACCGGGGGAACUGAAACAUCUAAGUACCCCGAGGAAAAGAAAUCAACCGAGAUUCCCCCAGUAGCGGCGAGCGAACGGGGAGCAGCCCAGAGCCUGAAUCAGUGUGUGUGUUAGUGGAAGCGUCUGGAAAGGCGCGCGAUACAGGGUGACAGCCCCGUACACAAAAAUGCACAUACUGUGAGCUCGAUGAGUAGGGCGGGACACGUGGUAUCCUGUCUGAAUAUGGGGGGACCAUCCUCCAAGGCUAAAUACUCCUGACUGACCGAUAGUGAACCAGUACCGUGAGGGAAAGGCGAAAAGAACCCCGGCGAGGGGAGUGAAAAAGAACCUGAAACCGUGUACGUACAAGCAGUGGGAGCCUCUUAAUGGGGUGACUGCGUACCUUUUGUAUAAUGGGUCAGCGACUUAUAUUCUGUAGCAAGGUUAACCGAAUAGGGGAGCCGAAGGGAAACCGAGUCUUAACUGGGCGUUAAGUUGCAGGGUAUAGACCCGAAACCCGGUGAUCUAGCCAUGGGCAGGUUGAAGGUUGGGUAACACUAACUGGAGGACCGAACCGACUAAUGUUGAAAAAUUAGCGGAUGACUUGUGGCUGGGGGUGAAAGGCCAAUCAAACCGGGAGAUAGCUGGUUCUCCCCGAAAGCUAUUUAGGUAGCGCCUCGUGAAUUCAUCUCCGGGGGUAGAGCACUGUUUCGGCAAGGGGGUCAUCCCGACUUACCAACCCGAUGCAAACUGCGAAUACCGGAGAAUGUUAUCACGGGAGACACACGGCGGGUGCUAACGUCCGUCGUGAAGAGGGAAACAACCCAGACCGCCAGCUAAGGUCCCAAAGUCAUGGUUAAGUGGGAAACGAUGUGGGAAGGCCCAGACAGCCAGGAUGUUGGCUUAGAAGCAGCCAUCAUUUAAAGAAAGCGUAAUAGCUCACUGGUCGAGUCGGCCUGCGCGGAAGAUGUAACGGGGCUAAACCAUGCACCGAAGCUGCGGCAGCGACGCUUAUGCGUUGUUGGGUAGGGGAGCGUUCUGUAAGCCUGUGAAGGUGUACUGUGAGGUAUGCUGGAGGUAUCAGAAGUGCGAAUGCUGACAUAAGUAACGAUAAAGCGGGUGAAAAGCCCGCUCGCCGGAAGACCAAGGGUUCCUGUCCAACGUUAAUCGGGGCAGGGUGAGUCGACCCCUAAGGCGAGGCCGAAAGGCGUAGUCGAUGGGAAACAGGUUAAUAUUCCUGUACUUGGUGUUACUGCGAAGGGGGGACGGAGAAGGCUAUGUUGGCCGGGCGACGGUUGUCCCGGUUUAAGCGUGUAGGCUGGUUUUCCAGGCAAAUCCGGAAAAUCAAGGCUGAGGCGUGAUGACGAGGCACUACGGUGCUGAAGCAACAAAUGCCCUGCUUCCAGGAAAAGCCUCUAAGCAUCAGGUAACAUCAAAUCGUACCCCAAACCGACACAGGUGGUCAGGUAGAGAAUACCAAGGCGCUUGAGAGAACUCGGGUGAAGGAACUAGGCAAAAUGGUGCCGUAACUUCGGGAGAAGGCACGCUGAUAUGUAGGUGAAGCGACUUGCUCGUGGAGCUGAAAUCAGUCGAAGAUACCAGCUGGCUGCAACUGUUUAUUAAAAACACAGCACUGUGCAAACACGAAAGUGGACGUAUACGGUGUGACGCCUGCCCGGUGCCGGAAGGUUAAUUGAUGGGGUCAGCGCAAGCGAAGCUCUUGAUCGAAGCCCCGGUAAACGGCGGCCGUAACUAUAACGGUCCUAAGGUAGCGAAAUUCCUUGUCGGGUAAGUUCCGACCUGCACGAAUGGCGUAAUGAUGGCCAGGCUGUCUCCACCCGAGACUCAGUGAAAUUGAACUCGCUGUGAAGAUGCAGUGUACCCGCGGCAAGACGGAAAGACCCCGUGAACCUUUACUAUAGCUUGACACUGAACAUUGAGCCUUGAUGUGUAGGAUAGGUGGGAGGCUUUGAAGUGUGGACGCCAGUCUGCAUGGAGCCGGCCUUGAAAUACCACCCUUUAAUGUUUGAUGUUCUAACGUUGGCCCGUAAUCCGGGUUGCGGACAGUGUCUGGUGGGUAGUUUGACUGGGGCGGUCUCCUCCUAAAGAGUAACGGAGGAGCACGAAGGUUGGCUAAUCCUGGUCGGACAUCAGGAGGUUAGUGCAAUGGCAUAAGCCAGCUUGACUGCGAGCGUGACGGCGCGAGCAGGUGCGAAAGCAGGUCAUAGUGAUCCGGUGGUUCUGAAUGGAAGGGCCAUCGCUCAACGGAUAAAAGGUACUCCGGGGAUAACAGGCUGAUACCGCCCAAGAGUUCAUAUCGACGGCGGUGUUUGGCACCUCGAUGUCGGCUCAUCACAUCCUGGGGCUGAAGUAGGUCCCAAGGGUAUGGCUGUUCGCCAUUUAAAGUGGUACGCGAGCUGGGUUUAGAACGUCGUGAGACAGUUCGGUCCCUAUCUGCCGUGGGCGCUGGAGAACUGAGGGGGGCUGCUCCUAGUACGAGAGGACCGGAGUGGACGCAUCACUGGUGUUCGGGUUGUCAUGCCAAUGGCACUGCCCGGUAGCUAAAUGCGGAAGAGAUAAGUGCUGAAAGCAUCUAAGCACGAAACUUGCCCCGAGAUGAGUUCUCCCUGACUCCUUGA